rnacentral:tRNA from 1 species
GUGACUGUAGCUCAAUGGCAGAGCGCCAGGCUGUGGCCCUGGAUGUGCCGGUUCGACUCCGGCCAGUCACCCCA